rnacentral:rRNA from 1 species
AGCGAACGCUGGCGGCAUGCCUAACACAUGCAAGUCGAACGAGGCCUUCGGGUCUAGUGGCGCACGGGUGCGUAACGCGUGGGAACCUGCCCUUAGGUUCGGAAUAACUCCCCGAAAGGGGUGCUAAUACCGGAUAAUGUCUUCGGACCAAAGAUUUAUCGCCUUUGGAUGGGCCCGCGUUGGAUUAGCUAGUUGGUAGGGUAAAAGCCUACCAAGGCGACGAUCCAUAGCUGGUCUGAGAGGAUGAUCAGCCACACUGGGACUGAGACACGGCCCAGACUCCUACGGGAGGCAGCAGUGGGGAAUAUUGGACAAUGGGCGAAAGCCUGAUCCAGCAAUGCCGCGUGAGUGAUGAAGGCCUUAGGGUUGUAAAGCUCUUUUACCCGGGAUGAUAAUGACAGUACCGGGAGAAUAAGCGCCGGCUAACUCCGUG